GCACCAAUUGGUAACCAUUGAAGAAACUAAACCACCAAUAUAGGCUGUUUCCAUCAGCAGUGGCAAGGGGUCAAUCGCCCGUCCAGCAAUUUCGCAGGUAAAGAAAGCUUUUGUUCAUCCAGAUUCCCCUUUGUUUCGCAAGUAUACCUCAAAUUAUGUCUUUAUGAAAUAAAUAAAUUUCAUUAUUUGAUUGUUAUAGGAUUAUCUUGAAUUCUUUAAAAAUUAAAACAAAUAUUUCAAAUUUUAUGGCUAUUUUUCUUUAAUACGCUAUUUAUAAUUUAUUUGCAUAAAACUGAAUAAGUAGAACAAAUUAAAAAUUCCACAUAUUUUUUAAUAUAUACUCACCGCGUUUCCUUUCGUCGGGAGUGGAAGUCAUCUGCCACGGAGUUCCCACCUCAAGCAAACCGAGGGGCUUGCCACCCGCAUAGCACGCGCAAAAAGUCACACUGUAGUUCCACCGUGCCUCGCUGCCAUCACCAAUUUCAGCUUAUUCCACCAAAUUUUAGACCGGCCGAUGUCAUGCCUUGCUUAGGACGCUCCAGUUUCCUUCUUCGGCGGAGAUUUGCUGCUGUCUGCCGACAGAGCAGCGAUUUCCGGGGACAGAGGCGCCGUGAUAUUUCCGACACAAAUUUUUCCAAUUUGGUCAACUCUGCGACAGUUGGCUUGAAAAACCAUCAUAGUCGUGUUCAUCAUGGCUACAGCAGGCUUGAAAAACCACGCCUUGUUCCUUAACUAGCAGCUCCAGUGCGUUUUUGGCUCCACGGGUAAUUUUUUCAAUGCAUUCGAGGUCGGGUUUCACUCAGCAUCUUCUACAUCAAUUGAAAGCCCAAUUUAACAUGAAGAACAUGUUACUCUCCACAACUUCUUGGGAAUCCAGGUCACUCCAAAUAAGAAAUGAUUUUUUUUUUUUCCAGACCAAACAAAAUAUGCAGACGAAUGUAUUCUCAUUCUCAAUUUCAGGGAAAAUGGUCUAAUGACCCUAUUCCUCUCUUCAUGAUCAAACAAUUUACUGCUGCCUAGUUGGUUCUCUCCAGAACCUGAGUUUCACUGAAGCUGAUAUCUGUUUUGCAGUAAACCAAGUCUGUCAGUUUAAGCAUUCUCCCAGAGAUGAUCAUCUUCAGGUUGUGAAACAUAUUCUUUGCCACACAUGCUAUGCUCUGCUCUGCAGUAUGAUUUGCUACUUUAUUCAAGCAUUCCGGAUGUUGAUUGUGCAGGAUGUCCAAAUACCUAUAAGUUAACCGUCAGGAACAAUCAACUGUAUUUUGCUCCUGUGUUGAAGUCGAGUAUCUGCCGUAGCUUUUACACUUGCUUUUCUUUCUUUUCUUUUUUUUUUUUUUUUUUUUUGGAUUCUUAACUUAUCUUAAUAUGAAGACCAUCCUGUUCUAUUCAUGUGCACCCAUUAUUUGGUCUAAUAAUGUUGGGAACACCUGUAUGGCCUUCAAUUCAAUAUGCAUCUCCCAAAACAUGCGUGAUUAGUGAUCUAUUUUGUACAAGGGGGUGUUCUUGCCAGUGAACUCUGGUAUAUUCCUUCUGAAGGUAAGUUGAGGAUAAUAUGUUCACAAAAGUCUUACAGUUCAAUUAUUGGAGGCUGAGUCUGUGCAUGUUGUCACACUCAGAUUUAGGGGA